UGGGGAAUAUUGCACAAUGGGCGCAAGCCUGAUGCAGCCAUGCCGCGUGUAUGAAGAAGGCCUUCGGGUUGUAAAGUACUUUCAGUCGGGAGGAAGGUGGUAAGGUUAAUAACCUUAUCAAUUGACGUUACCGACAGAAGAAGCACCGGCUAACUCCGUGCCAGCAGCCGCGGUAAUACGGAGGGUGCAAGCGUUAAUCGGAAUUACUGGGCGUAAAGCGCACGCAGGCGGUUGAUUGAGUCAGAUGUGAAAUCCCCGGGCUUAACCCGGGAAUUGCAUCUGAUACUGGCAAGCUUGAGUCUCGUAGAGGGGGGUAGAAUUCCAGGUGUAGCGGUGAAAUGCGUAGAGAUCUGGAGGAAUACCGGUGGCGAAGGCGGCCCCCUGGACGAAGACUGACGCUCAGGUGAGAAAGCGUGGGGAGCAAACAGG
rnacentral:rRNA from 1 species